GACGAACGCUGGCGGCGUGCCUAAUACAUGCAAGUCGAACGAACUCUGGUAUUGAUUGGUGCUUGCAUCAUGAUUUACAUUUGAGUGAGUGGCGAACUGGUGAGUAACACGUGGGAAACCUGCCCAGAAGCGGGGGAUAACACCUGGAAACAGAUGCUAAUACCGCAUAACAACUUGGACCGCAUGGUCCGAGCUUGAAAGAUGGCUUCGGCUAUCACUUUUGGAUGGUCCCACGGCGUAUUAGCUAGAUGGUGGGAUAAUGGCUCACCAUGGCAAUGAUACGUAGCCGACCUGGGAGGGUAAUCGGCCACAUUGGGACUGAGACACGGCCCAAACUCCUACGGGAGGCAGCAGUAGGGAAUCUUCCACAAUGGACGAAAGUCUGAUGGAGCAACGCCGCGUGAGUGAAGAAGGGUUUCGGCUAGUAAAACUCUGUUGUCAGAGAAGAACGUGUGCGAGAGUAACUGCUCGUGCAGUGGCGGUAUCUGGCCAGAAAGCCACGGCUAACUACGUGCCAGCCGCCGCAGUAA
rnacentral:rRNA from 1 species